rnacentral:miRNA from 1 species
UUUAGGUUGGUGCAAAAGUAAUUGUGGUUUUUGGCCAUUAAAAGUAUGACAAAAACCUCAAUUACUUUUUCACCAACCUAAUAA